GACGAAGGAUGCAAGCGUUAUCCGGAUUCAUUGGGUUUAAAGGGAGCGUAGGUGGCCUGCUAAGUCAGUGCUGAAAUAUCCCGGCUUAACCGGGAGGGUGGCAUUGAUACUGCGGGGCUAGAGUACAGAUGAGGUAGGCGGAAUUGACGGUGUAGCGGUGAAAUGCUUAGAUAUCGUCAAGAACACCUAUAGCGAAGGCAGCUUACUAGGCUGUAACUGACGCUGAGGUACGAAAGUGUGGGGAUCAAACAGG
rnacentral:rRNA from 1 species